rnacentral:rRNA from 1 species
UACAGAGGUCUCAAGCGUUGUUCGGAUUCAUUGGGCGUAAAGGGUGCGUAGGCGGCGCGGUAAGUCGGGUGUGAAAUCUUGGAGCUUAACUCCGAAACUGCAUUCGAUACUGCCGUGCUUGAGGACUGGAGAGGAGACUGGAAUUUACGGUGUAGCGGUGAAAUGCGUAGAGAUCGGGAGGAACACCAGUGGCGAAGGCGGCUACCUGGACCAGCACUGACACUGAGGCACGAAAGCGUGGGGAGCAAACAGGG